rnacentral:piRNA from 1 species
UGAAGUCACUCACAAUGGGUU